CUUUAGUCUAGUUAGGACUAAACAAGAGGCUCUUAAACACCAGUGCAGUGAGCCCUGUACAGUUCUAACUUAUAUAGUGUACAUAUAACUCUACACCAGACACCUCAGUGCAGUGAGCCCUGGACAGUUCUAACUUAUAUAGUGUGCAUAUAACUCUACACUAGACACCUCAGUGCAGUGAGCCCUGGACAGCUCUAACUUAUAUAGUGUGCAUAUAACUCUACACUAGACACCUCAGUGCAGUGAGCCCUGGACAGUUCUAACUUAUAUAUUGUACAUAUAACUCCACACUAGACACCUCAGAAAUGAUCGAAGAAGAAAGAUGUUUACUCGAACAAAAGGCUUCUGACCACCCCUUGGGUCUGCCUACACCCUUCACGACAAUCAACAGAUUCGAAUUAAUGAGAAGGUCAUCGAGAAAGGCCUUAAAUUCCUGGGCCAAGCCUCAAUCCUGCAGCUCAAAUUCAGUCACUAUACUCCAUCAAGAGAACAGAACCAGUCUAAAACAAAGCGAAUUAAAUCAGGUAUAAUAGUUUAUAAGUUU